rnacentral:rRNA from 1 species
UACGUAGGAGGCAAGCGUUGUCCGGAAUUACUGGGUGUAAAGCGCGUGUAGGUGGCAGGCCAAGUCUGUUGUGAAAUCGCCCGCCUCAACUGGGCGCGGUCAAUGGAAACUGGUCAGCUGGAGGACGGUAGAGGCGAGUGGAAUUCCCGGUGUAGUGGUGAAAUGCGUAGAGAUCGGGAGGAACACCAGUGGCGAAGGCGGCUCGCUGGGCCGGUCCUGACACUGAGACGCGAAGGCGUGGGGAGCGAACGGG